rnacentral:misc_RNA from 1 species
GUUUGUGAAUUGCAAUGGUUGUCAUAUCUGCUUAAAGCUUUUCGGCUAACACUCUGCCUGUUUCCCUUUAUUGCGAUAACAAGGAUGCUAUUCACAUUGCCUCCAACCCAGUAUUCCACGAGUGUACCAAGCUUCUUGACAUCAAUUGUCAUAUUGUCCGAGAUCAAAUGACUAAAGGCUUCAUUAAGCCCCAGCACAUCCCUGCGCAUUAUUAGUUGGCGGACAUUUUCACAAAGUGCCUAAGCUCCUCGUCCUUCCAAACACUUGUGUCCAAGCUGGGAUUGAUCGACUUCAACAACUCUCCAAUCUCCAGUUUGGGGGGUGGGGGAGGGAUGAGAAAGUAACAGUAAAAAAGUUC